rnacentral:rRNA from 1 species
CUUUGGGAUAACUUCAGGAAACGUGGGGCUAAUACCGGAUAGGAGCUCCUGCUGCAUGGUGGGGGUUGGAAAGUUUCGGCGGUUGGGGAUGGACUCGCGGCUUAUCAGCUUGUUGGUGGGGUAGUGGCUUACCAAGGCUUUGACGGGUAGCCGGCCUGAGAGGGUGACCGGCCACAUUGGGACUGAGAUACGGCCCAG